rnacentral:tRNA from 2 species
GCGUCCAUCGUCUAAUGGAUAGGAC